UAUUUUGAGGUAUUUGCUUUUUUUGCUGGCGCCGCCGCUGCCGCUGUGCGGGGCUCUGGCGCGCCGAUAGCUUCCGAUCGCAGGGACCCCGAAGGGAAAGUAGCACCGAUAAAUCCACGGAAAGGGAGGAAAAAGGAGAAAUUAAAAAAAAAAAGAAGGGCGAAAGGUGGACCCGAGCCCUGCGGCUGGGGGGGGGCGCGGGGCACCCACGGGGCGGCAUGGUGGGCGCUGCGGUGGGCACCGGGCCUGCGCACCGGGCCCAUGCAAGGCGCUGCACACUGUGCCCAUGCACCGUGCACGCACACCAUGCACGCACAGUGCCCGAGCACUGUGCACGAGCACUGCACGCAUGCACCAUGCACGCACACCGUGCAUGCACAUUGCUGGUGCACCGUGCACGAGCACUGCAUGCAUGCACCGUGCAUGCACACCAUGCAUACACAGUGCCGGUGCACCGUGCACGAGCACUGUGUGCAUGCACCGUGCACACACGCCAUGCACGAGCACUGUGCACAUGCACCGUGCACGCACACUGCCUGGGCACGUGCAUGAGCACUGGGCACAUGCACCGUGCAUGCACACCAUGCAUGCACAGUGCCCAGGCACCGUGCAUGAGCCCCGUGUGCAUGCAUUGUGCAUGCACACUAUGCAUGCACGGUGCCCGGGCACCGUGCACGAGCACUGCACGCAUGCAUCACGCACACACACUGUGCACACACACCGUGCCAGUAUACCUUGCCUGUGCACCGUGCACACCCACCGCGCACGCACACCCUGUAACACACCGUGCCCGUGCACUGUGCAUGAACCCUGUGCAUCGUGCACACACACCAUGCCACGCACCGUGCCCGUGCACGGUGCACAGGGCACCGUGCACGCACACCAUGUCACACGCUGUGCCCCUGCACCGUGCACACGCACCGUGCACGCACACCGAGCUACAUGCCAUGCGCGUGCACAGCGCAGGGACACUGUGCCACGCUCUGUGCCCGCGCACCAUGCAUGCGCACCGUGCUGCACGCCGUGCCCGUGCACGGCUCCCGUGCAGCAUGCCCGUGCCCUGGGCCACACACACACCAUGACACACACCGUGCCCAUGCACCGUGUACACGCACCAUGCCACGCACCGUGCCUGCGCACCGUGCACGCACACCGUGCCACCGCACCACAUCCAUGCACCAUGCCUGCACACCAUGCCAGGCACCGGGCCUCUGCACCACGCCUGCACACCGUGCCUGCGCGGUGUGCCCACGCACCGUGUGUAUUCACCGUGCCACGCACUGUGCCUGCACACCGUGUCCGCACAUGGUGCCCUUGCACCACGCCGGCACGCUGUGUGCACUAUGCUUAUGCACUGUGUGUGUGUGCACGGUGCGUGGCACAAAGUGCCACACACCAUGCCGCACACCGCGCACGCACACCGUGCCUGUGCACCCUGCCUAUGCACGGUGUGCGUGCACCGCGCACGCACACCGUGCCCGUGCACCCUGCCUAUGCACGGUGUGCAUGCACCACAUCGUACACUGUGCAUGCACACCGUGCCCAUAUACCGUGCCUACGCACAGUGUGCAUGCACCACGUCGCACACCGUGCCCGUAUACACUGCCUAUGCACGGUGUGCAUGCACCAUGCCGCACACCGUGCACACACAUCGUGCCCAUGCACAGUGUGCAUGCACCACGUCGCACACCGUGCACACGCACUGUGCCGCACACCGUGCACGCACACCCUGCCGGCAGCAAACAAAACGGGGAAAAGCCGCUGCCGGCGGCGGCGACCCGAGCGCUUCGGCGCAGCACCAAUUCCCGUUUGCAUAAGAACGACGAGCUCCCUGCACCCGUCCCGGCGGGGCUGCACCAGCCGGCGCAAGGGGGGGGGGGGAUACCACCACCCCCGCCGGCGUCCCCUCGGCCCGGGACGGAAGAGCUGCCGCUAUGGCAAAGCAAACGCCGUUUUCUCUUGGUUCCCUGGGUUCCUAUGUGGAUUAGUAGCACCUCGGCGAGAUGGAAUCAGGCGAAACGCGAGACAGCUGCGUUAAAGCACCGUAGCACCGUGUGAGUAGAAGAUUUCACUUAAAAACACACCGUAGAGAGCCCGCAAAGCGCGUGCCGGCGUAACCCCAGCGAUUGAAGCACCUCGGGGGGGUUUUGCACCCGACGCCGGGGUACGGCCGGGGACGGGGGGGGUGGGGGACAGGACCCGGGAGGCUGCGGGAGCCUCCGGGAGCACCGAGCCGGGAGGGCCGCCCGCGAGACGGAUCUCCUGGGAGCAAAAUGAGAAACCUGCCCCCCCCCUCCGUUAAAAUUAAAAGGAUAUUUGCAAAGAACCCGUUGGAGAGGGCGGCGGGGGGAGGGGGUUGAGUUUUCCUUCCCCCUUUCCCCCCCCGCGCCGGAGGGUUCGCACCGCGCGUUGUUCUAGCACCAAUGGUUGGGGAUACCUGCCGCANNNNNNNNNNNNNNNNNNNNNNNNNNNNNNNNNNNNNNNNNNNNNNNNNNNNNNNNNNNNNN
rnacentral:lncRNA from 1 species